CUCUGUUUGGGCUCCUGAACGACACGGGGGAGCAGCGUCUGCCUCACAACCAAUCAGGAUGGGGGAGGCGGAGAAUGGCUUUGUUUACAGUCAGAAAGAGCGGAGCGCUCUGAAAUUUUAAAAUGUUGACUACACAGACAUAACAAAACACAGCAAUAUCGUGAUAUUCCCAAAUGUCAUCAAUAACUAAUAGCUAUUGACUGAUAUUAAAAGCUUUUUUUGUACACCAGAAAAAAAGAUGCUUCUUCAAGGGAUUCCUGCCUACCCCACCUUUAAUUUAACUUUCUUUAACUUUAAAGCUCCUGUAAGGAAUGUUUAUUCACUGUGGGCUCAAACACAGACCUUAAAGGAAUAGUUCAGUGUUUUUUUGGGAGUGUGGCUCUAUAAGGUGUUCUUCAGUAAGAGUCUUACCCACAGCUCAGUCUCUUUGUUGGGAAAGCAUUCAGAGUUGAGAUCUACCAGGGGACUUAGCUGGUUUUAAGAAACUCAAACUCAAACACAACUAUCUGGUGAAGUGUAGUUUGUAUGUGUCACUAAUUUUGCUCAUUUUGUUGAUGCAUUGUUCAUAUUUCGUCCCGUACGUGAUGCAGGAUUAAAUCAGGGCGCAAACGUAAUCAUGACACAAAACAAAGACAAACAUACAGCAGUCAUAAAUCCUUCUUUUGUCUGUCCUCAUUAAAAAAAGGGAAACUAAAGUGGCAGAAACAACAAACAACACAGGAGGAAAUAAAAACAAAACAACAAACGACGCCCUCCUCACAGCUGGAUGAAACCACACGCCACCCUGACUGAACAUUUUCUAAAAUUAGACUAAAUAGAAAAACCUUCAAACGCACGCUGACGGCUUUGAUUUUAAGGUAAGACUGCAUAAUAACUGAUAAAGAAGCGCCAUAUAGGAAAUGAAAUAUAUUCCUGUAAUAAAGUCAAAGAUUCCUUCAUUUUCAGCGUUAAUAAUCACAGUGUCUGCGGUAUCUGGAGAGGCAUCAGGCGCUGCAAACAUCCACAAUCUUAUUUUGGCCCAGAGAGAGUGUCAGACCUUCAUCUCAUAAGCCUUUAAUUCUUUUUGGGCUGCUCCUCACUCUGAUUUUGCUUUCAGCGCAGCAUCUUGAUCCAAAGGUAAAAACUAUUUUUGGCAGCUUUUUUUUUUUUUUUUCUUUUUUAAAUCAAAAUAGUCAUAUCUCUUCUACCUUGAAGAUCUCUGCCUGUCAGAGUCUGAACUUCAGCUCUUUACCUUAGAAAACCUUGAUGCAAUUUCAAACACGCCGGCUCGUACUUGGAUGGUGCAGUCUGUUUCAUGAACAGAAGUCAUAAAGUUUCACUCUGAUUUUGCAUAUGUUACUGCACUUAAGUUAUAAGAUAAGAAGGAUUAUGAUAUAAUCUAUAGACAUGUAUAAAUGUUGUCAAUUUAUCAUUUUAUUCCCAGAUGUUCUGCCAUGUUUUCAAGAAGGUAGGACCACAUUUUGUCUAUAUCUUAUUAUGCAUUUUAUAUCAGAAUACACUGAUGCAUCAUUAAACACCUCAUAAAUCUUUAUUUUCAUGCAUUUUAGAGGGUUUCUGCAGUCUAAUAAGCUGCAGACAUGAUGUAUUUUCAAUUUGACGAACACCAAACUUCAUUUGUUUGUUUUGACAGAGAGAAGAACAUUGGCCAGAGGUACAAAGCUGCAGUCGUGUUGGACCGCCUCCCAGCGCAGGUGUGAAUGUGCAGCAGAGAGUGAGAACGUGAGCUCAAGCCAAAUGUUUCUGCAAGGUAAAGGCUGAAAAUAAGAGUCUUCUCAAACCACUGUAGACACAGUUAAAAGCUUAAAUGCUACAGAAAAGUUUAAAUUGUCAUGCACAGGUUUAAACACCUGCUUAUAAUUAGUUCAAGAAAUUACCUUGUUAAGAGUUUUGCUCUACCGGCACACGUGGCAAGUAACAAAUUACAUGCACUUGUGUUACUGUAACUGAGCAUCUUUGUAUGAAGUGGUGACUAAUUUACUUGUGAAUGUGAAUCCAGGUGGCAACUGUCCAGGGUGAAAUCUGGGAUUAGGCAUGUGCCGAUAUGAAAAAUUUGAUAUCACGAUAUCGGUGGCCCAAAAUAUCACGAUUCACAAUAUUAUCACGAUAUUAGCGCAUUGUUUUAACGUUAUGGCAAAAAUGGCAAAAAACUGCAAAAUCACUUCUCUGUGCACAGCAUGACACGCACAAACAAUAUGAGCAAGAGGCAGCUAACGCGACGUUGGGAGCAUUAGCUUUUUGGAGCUAAAGUUAGCAGAAACGUCUCUAACGUUGUCAAUAAUAAGCAGUAGAGUAGACCAAACUUGUUGCAGUCAUGUUGUUUUUACUUUGAUUUGGGCGAACGAUGCUGGAUGGUGAAACAUAAAACGUCCGUACUGCCGACGAAACCUUUUAAAUCGGAGGAAACAGCUGAGGCGUUUCGUCAUUCUCAGUCUCCGACUGUUCUUGGUCUGGCUGCAUAGUUACAUUGGUUGGAAGUUGGAACGUGUGCGUCAACUUUUUUUUCUUCUUCAAACUGUUUUCGGUUCACAGAGUGGACACGCUCCAACAGUGCUUUGGGUGGCCGCAUUGCAUUGUGGGUGGCCACGCAUUUUGUUGUAAAUUUUUUUCAGUUUCUCUUUUAAUGUUCCUGUUUUUGUUAGGCUGGCAUUAAUGUACUUAAUUUGAGAGUUUGUUUUGGAUUUGGGACUACUUUUGUGGUGGUUUGUUUGAACAUUUUGCUACCAAGGCUUUGACACAGUGGGUAAGACUACAAGCGGGUUAGGUUGGUAAGUACUCGGCUUCACUCCCCUCUGCUGAGUGACACUGCCACUCAUCUUUAAAUUAUAAUUGUGGAACGAUUAUUACAGUACCCUACAAUUUCAUCAUAGCGGCCAUUUGAUAUCGCAUAUCACGAUUAAAUUGUAUAUCGGCACACCCCUAUCUGGGAUAGGCCCCAAUUGACCUCAAAUGGAAUAGGCAGUGU
rnacentral:lncRNA from 1 species